rnacentral:lncRNA from 1 species
AGUUCCGAGACGGCGAGGAAAUUCCACUAAUAUCAAAAGGAGAUUACAAAUAGAGUUUUAACUCUCAACCCAAAUCCCACAUACACCCAAUAGCUCUCACUCUCACAAAGAACAAAUGGAGAAGAUGGAAACAUAUACCAAAUUCCUUCUCUCCCAAAAGCCACAAAAUGUAGCACAAAUAUCUUUUAUUGAGUGAUAACUAACAAAAGGGAAUUACAAACAAAAUGGGAAUGAUAGAAAACAACAACCCUUCUCUUUCUUCUCUCAAAUCUGCCGUUCCCAACUCCCCAUUCUCCAAAGGCAUAACCAAAUGCCUUAAUAUAAACAAAAGGCCACCUUUCUUUGCUUUUGUAAAAGCCACAAAUCAAGGGCUAGACAUCAUAAUGAUGUCUCCCUUUUCCUUAUUCUAUUUUAUUAGCCGAAAGGUAUUUUGGCUUGUUGUCCACUUGGUCACAAAUCCAACAAUCUCCACCUUGACCAAGUUCCGAAAGCAUCACAGAGAAUCGAAUCAACAAUCACCAUAAGCACCCAAAGUACAAACUAAAGACAACGGAAACUAAAUCAAAUUCCCCAAACUUACCAGUGCUCAUAACAAUUUCCACCUCGACUCAAACUAUACCAAAGCCAACGAAAGUGAACAUUUCUCUACCGUCUUCUCCAAAUUUGCAAACCAUAAGUGCCUUGAUCAAAACAAAAGGUGAUUCAAACGAAGAACUGAAAUUCUUCAAUAUCGCCAACAAAAGAUCAAGCACACCAUACCAAAGUUGGACACACAACGAACUCCACCUGCUCACAAACACCAUGGUCUUAAACUGCACCAAUAGACUCAUUCACAUAGCAUGGCACAUUCUCCAAGUCAAAACUGAUUACAAAUUUGGCAACAAGGUCUCACAUACCACAUACAAAAAAAUGCCCUUCACUCAAGUUUACCAUCAUCACAUGAGCACCAACAGGACAACCAAAAUUUCAAAUUCAAAUAAUCAGCAGGAGAUCCAAAACCAUACCUCAACUGGAGUCUUCAAAAAAACUAAUUGCAGAUGAUGGAGACCAACAGACCAAAUAGCAGUGUCAAACAAAUCCAACCAAAUGUCCAUAGACCAAAGUUAGAAAGCAUAUAACUUGCCUUCUACAAGAGGGUUCCACACAAAUGUUCCGCAUUAGGUGUCUCCAAAAUAGUGUGGUGUCUCACUAUCCAAACUUGCAGAACUUAACAAAUUGGCCCUCAUUGAAUUCAACUUUACCAAAAAAACAAAACCAUACCAAUAUCCAAAACAAUAAAAACACCGAUGAAGAGCAACUGACAUAACACAAACAUACACAGAGGCUACUAAGCAACUUUCUCAAAUCAUAACAAAGAAUCCUUACAAACUCUUAAAUUUCCAUAUGUAGCAAAGAGAUUUAAGAGUACCCACAACACCAGAUUCCCUUUUUUUUUUUUUUUUUUUUUUUUGUUUUAAUUUCAAAUCUGGUGUAGCCAACUGUCAUCAUAGAACAAAGUCGAAGUUGUCAUCGACGACAUUCGCACUCGCACCAGCAUUAUCUUUCAGUUUUGGGCAAUCAACUUUCCAAUGCCCUUCCUUGCGACAAUAGUUGCAUGUGUUGUUUCUGGUCUUAGACUUCGAUCUCAAAUUUCCUUUAUUACUACCUGAACCAUAUUCCCUAUCUCUGCCUCUUGCUAUAAAAGCCUCAGAAUGAGAAUCAUUCAAGUUUCCAAAUACUUUGUUCUUUAACUCUCUUGAAUUCAAAGCGGCUUUUACAUUCUCCAUACAAAUAGAAUCUCUCCCAUAUAACAAAGUUUCAACAAAAUUCGCAUACGAAUGAGGUAAAGAACACAACAAAAUCAAAGAUUGAUCCUCAUCAUCAAUUUUAUUAUCCAUACUUUUCAAAUCCAUAAUAACCUUAUUAAACUCAUCAAGAUGGUUUUGAAUAGGUGUACCUUCAGUCAUACGGAGAGUGUACAAACGUUGCUUCAAAUACAAACGAUUGGUGAGGGAUUUGGUCAUGUAUAUACUCUCCAACUUAAGCCACAAACCAGCUGCAGUAGUUUCAUUUUCCAUCUCACGAAGAACUUCAUCAGAUAGUGAUAACAUAAUUGCACUAUGUGCUCGAUUCAAAGCGUCUUCUUUUUCUUCAGCAGACCAAUCUUGUGGCAAGGCUUCCACACCCUGUAGCGCCUUAAGCAACCCUUGUUGAACUAGCACAGCUCGCAUCUUAACCCGCCACAGGCUAAAAUCAUUCCUCCCAUUGAAUUUUUCAAUAUCAUAUUUCACCGACAUAUUCGAAGGUUUCAUAGACAUAUUAGUACAAAGCCCCAAGUCGAAACUCAGAGCUCUGAUACCACUUGUUGUGCGGAAGCGUCAAAUAUGAAACCAAUAAGCAACAAUGGCAAAAUAUGAUAAGACAAAUAAUCCAAAUGACACAAGGAUUUAUACUGGUUCGGCGUAAGCCUACGUCCAGUUCCGAGACGGCGAGGAAAUUCCACUAAUAUCAAAAGGAGAUUACAAAUAGAGUUUUAACUCUCAAACCCAAAUCCCACAUACACCCAAUAGCUCUCACUCUCACAAAGAACAAAUGGAGAAGAUGGAAACAUAUACCAAAUUCCUUCUCUCCCAAAAGCCACAAAAUGUAGCACAAAUAUCUUUUAUUGAGUGAUAACUAACAAAAGGG